UUCAUUCUUCUAUUCUCUUCUAAAUUCUCCCUGCGUAUCUUCAUUGUUAGGAUAUUACUUUAUUCAACUUCACAUGGUAUCAGAGCUUCAACAAGAGCAAAUCGUGGGGAUCUUCACCUGAACUUUAUUUGUUCUUCACUGCGUUUUUCUUUCACUAUGUUAUUUUCUUUAGAUUUCUAGCUCUUUUUCAUGCCAGAAUCAGUAUCAAUGGGGGACAAUGCUUCCGUGACUGUUGCUACUACCGUCGAUUAUGAUCAUCCUCUUUUUUUUGUAUCCAUCAGAUGCUCCUGGCUCUUUUUCAAUUGGAAUCAUGUUGACUGGCUCGGACAAUUAUACGCUGUGGAGCAGAGCUGUAAAGCUUGCUUUGCUAGGAAGAAACAACUUGGCCUUCAUUGGUGGUUCAGUAAAGAGAGCUCCAUUUUCAUGUGAUUUGGCCAAAUUGUGGGAUCGAUGCAAUGCCAUUGUGGUAUCUUGGCUCAUGAGCAAUGUAAGCAAGGAUCUCCUCAGUGGUGUUUACAUUCCAACUACACAAAGAGAUUUUCACUUUUGUUAAAGGGAAAAGGAGACCUAAUGCAGUGACUGGUUCCAUUUAUGGCAGUGUUCCUAUGCAGAUGUACACUAGGCCUGAUUACUCACAGUCUCAAUAUAUGCAACCAUAGCUAGGGAUGAUAACAUCACACAUGUAAACUACAAGUGCUUCAGGCAGUAGAGAUUCACAUGCUACUGGGCAGGGCAAUCUAAGUGGCAGUGCUCACAUGACAGGUAAUUUUUCUUCUUCUCAGCCAACCUCUGUUAAAUGGAAAUAGAUACAGGGGGACUCUAAUCACAUGAUAGGAUAUCAUACACACUUACUGGAUAAAGGACUGAUAGAAAAUGCAGGCUAGGGGAAUCAGCCAGAGUUUCACAUAUAGGAAAUUAUCAUCUAGGUGGAGGUGUUAUUCCAACAUGUUCUGUUUGUGCAGAUUUCAAGUUUAAUAUUAUGUCAUUUUCUCAAAUGACAAAGGACUUAAAUUGUUGUGCAACGUUUUAUCCACAUUGUUGUGUUAUACAUGACUCAUUUGGGAUGGUGAGGGAGAUUUGUAAAGAAGAGGAAGGGCUCUACACUAUGUUCUCGCAUGCUGGAAUUAGGGGGCAAACUUUAACAAAUGUUAUGCAGUAUACUAUGAGGCAGAUGCUAGUAUUUGGCAUCAAAGACUAUGUCAUGUUCCUAUGGAAGUUCUUAAAAGAUACCUAUGUUUCAAGAUCUUAGUAAUAAUAGCUCUUUUGCUUUGAAUUAUUGUGAGAUAUGUCCCCUUGCAAGGUAAACUAGAAUGCAUUUUCCACAUAGUUUGAGUAGGUCUACUACUAGCUUUCAGUUACUACAUGUUGAUGUAUGGGGACCAUAGAAAUGGGAAACAUAUGAUGGAAUUCUAACCAUUGUUAAUGAUCAUACAAUAUGGACUUGGUUUUUUUUAAUGAGACUUAAGUCUAAUGUAUUGAUGUUGUUAAAAAACUUCUUUGUUGAAAUAAAAACACAGUUUGGUGAAAAAGUUCAAAGGUGAGAUCUGAUAAUGGUGGAGAAUGCUUUAGCCACGCAUGCACAAAAUUGUUUCAAGAUUACGGUAUUGCACAUGAUAUUUCUUGUCCAUACACACCACAAAAAAAUGAUGUGGUGGAGAGAAGACACAUACAUAUCUUAGAAACAGCCAGGGCCAUUAAGUUUCAGAGUUGUUAUUUGUAGUUUUGAUGAUAUGACAAACUCAGGGACCUUGUAAAGGUAUCAGGUUCUCAACAUGAGUUUUGAUGAUGUCACAAACUCAGGGAGCUUGUAAAGGUACCAGGCUGCCAACAUGAAUAGUCUGUUGACUUCCAGCUGGAGAAGGUACAGAAAGUGGGUGCACAUUUUCCAACGGCAUUAGAAAAGUCAGACCUUUCCAACCAAUGGCAAGAGUUUAAGAAAAGGGACUUGUCUAUACAAUGUCACUUUCCUAAACAUCAUUCCUUAGUUUUUGCAACUUGAAAAAGUACUCUCAAGAACACUUGCAAAUGUUAUAGAAAAUUAACGUGAAGAAUUAUUCAACAACAACUGAAAACUCAGGAGCAUAUCGUGUAGUAUUUUGAGAAUAUAUUCUUUUGGUCUUACAUUGUAAACUAUUCCUAAAUCUAUAAAGGAAUCAGUGUGAUGGUGUCGAAAUUCUAAGUUGUCUAGAAGGGAUAACUUAGUGGGUAGAAUAACUUCUACUUAGGCUUAUCAAGCAAUAGAGUCAUUGCUUGAACGUGAGAUAAAAAACUUUUUCUCACAUUUGUGUAACUAGUUUUACGUUUGCUUGCAAAAAUUAGUGAAAUAGUUGUGAGAAUCCUGUAAGACAGGUCGUGGUUUUACUCCCUUAAGCAAGGAGGUUUACACAUAAAAUUGAUGUGUUGUUAAACUGCAUUUACUUUCUAUUCAUACUUGUUUGUGUGUCAAGGGACCUGGUCCAUUGUCUGAUAAGUGGACGCAUAUAUUCUAACAAGAGUGUCUUACCAAAUAAGUUUUGGGGUUUGUAUAUUGAGUCUAUUGUAUAUGUUCUCAAUAGGAUUCCUUCAACUAUAUUGAAUAGAAAAUCACCUUUUCAGAUGUUGUACCACAACCUUCCUUCUUCUGCAUUUAAGUGUCAUUGGUUGCUUGUGUUUGCCACUAACCUUACUCAGAAGGAUAAGUUCAAUCCUAGAGUUGUGAAAGUUGUAUUACUUGAAAGGGGUAUAAGUUGUAUGAUCUUGAAACCAGAUUCUUGUUUGUUAGCAGAGAUGUACUGUUCAUGGAAAAUUCAUUUCCUUUUCAAAAACAAAAAUAGAUCCACAACAUACCACUCACUUCUCCUAUGAUGACUUAAUUCAUCAUUAACACAUUCUAGUGAAUGAUUUAUUCAGUUUCCUAGUGAAGUGGUUCCGCAGCAAUAGGUGUUGGAAAUAUAGAAAUUGAGCCCCCAUCUGAAAUUGUGCCAUACAAUGUAGAACUUGAGCCUCCAUCUGAAGUUGUGCCAGAUAAUUUACCUGCAGGUGAGAGUAGUAGGUCAUCCAAAGGUACAAAACCUCCUAUCUGGAACAAGGAGUAUGUGCUAAGGCUGGCUCUGACACCAUAACCUAUAAUGGUUUAUCCACAAACUAUCAAAGAUUUAUAGCUAAGUUCUUCAUAGAUACUGAACCUGACAACUAUUCAGAAGUUUCUAGUAAUGAUAGAUGGAUACUUUCCAUGAAGAAUGAAAUACAAGCUUUGGAGGACAACAAGACCUGAGAGAUUAUCACACUUCCUCAGGGCAAAUAGGUUGUAGGUUGUAGAUGGGUGUACAAAAUCAAAUAUAAAGCAGAUGGUGAAGUAGAAAGGUUUAAGGCCAGACUUGUAGCAAAGGGUUAUAGUCAAAAGGAAGGAUUGGAUUAUCAGGAAACCUUUUUCCUUGUGGUCACGAUGGGCAUUGUCAGGGCUGUUACUUAGGCUGCAACCAAGGGGUGGAAAUUAUAUUAAAUGGAUGUGCAUAAUGCAUUCCUACAAGGAGAUCUAUAUGAAGAAGAAGUAUGUAUGACCAUUCCAUAAGUUUUUUCAAGACAAAAGAGGACUGAUGCAAAAGUGCAGGCUAAAAAUCCUUGUAUGGGCUCAAGCAAGCCUCUAGACUAUGGAACAUAAAACUCACCAAUGCCUUAACUUCACUGGUUUUAACCAAAGCACAAGGGACUACUCUUUGUUCACUAAGAUGGAUGGUGACAAGAUUGUACUAGUUAUGGUCUAUGUGGAUGACUUCUUACUUACAGGAAAUGAUCACUCUAUAAUUCAACACACCAAAGAAACACUACACACAACUUUUAAGAUCAAGGACUUGGGAGAACUUAGGUACUUCUUGCGUAUUGAGUUUACAAGAAGUAAUGAGGGGAUAUUGAUGCAUCAAGAAAAUAUUCUCUAGAGUUAAUAGCCGACAUGGGACUUGCUGGUGCCAAAACUAUCACAACUCCUAUGGAUCAGAAUAAAAAACUCACUACAGUUGAGUUUGAUCAACAUGUGUCGUCAAAUUCUGAGGACUUGGUGCUAAAGUAUCCUAUUGGAUAUCAAAAACUUAUCGGGAGGCUUCUAUAUCUCACUAAUACCAGACCAAACAUUGCUUUUGUUGUACAGAGUUUGAGUCAAUUUAUGCAUUCCCCCAAAAAGUGUCAUAUGGAAGCAACCAUGAGACUAGUUAGGUAUGCAAAACAGGGUUGGGAAUAAUGAUGUCUGCCACUGUGAUGAUCUUCUGAAGUUGUAUUCUGAUGCUGAUUGGGGUGCUUAUAUUAAUAGCAGAAGUUCUAUUUCUGCUUAUCUAAUACACUAUGGCAAUUCUCCUAUUUCUUGGAAGUCUAAGAAGCAGGCCAGUCUCUAGGAGUUCGGUAUAGGUAGAAUACAGGGUCAUGUCAUCUUCAGUUGCAGAGGUAAUUUGGAUGACAGGAUUGUUCAAGGAGCUUGGAGUAAAUGUCAAACUUCCUGUCACUUUGUUUUUUCUGACAGCAAAUCAGCCUUGCAAAUAACUGCUAACCCUGUUUUUCAUGACGAACUAAGCACAUAGAUAUAGAUUGUCAUUUUACUAGAGAAAAAUUCAAGAAGGUCUGAUUGUCACUGCCUAUUUGUAUUCAUCUGAGCAGCCUGCAGACUUGUUCACUAACGGUCUUGGGAGAGCCUCACAUACUUAUUUGAUGUCCAAGCUGGGAAUGAAGAAUGUCUUCAUAGCUCCAAGCUUGAGAGGGAGUGUAAAGGAGAUUGGAAAAUGCAUCAAUGUGCCUUAGUCUACACAUUACCUAGUUUGUUAGAAGCUAGUUAAUGGUAAUUACAAAUUAAGCUAAUUAGUCAAAAUUAGUUUGUCAUAAAGUUAGUUAGGAAUGAGUGUAAAGCAUGUGUUGUUAGCUGCGGGCAUAAAAGGACAACUCAUUGUAUUCAGUUAAAUCAAUCAAUGAAAAUACUUCUCUCUGCGUAUCUUCAUUGUUAGGAUGUUAAUUCAUCAAACUUCACACAUCAGCAAAAGCAGCGUAAAAAAAUUCAUAGAAAUUCAAAUUUCUUAUCCCAACUUUACUACCCUCCUGAAUUCUACCUCUAUAUAAACCCCCUUCUCUCAUCAUUCUAAGGGGUUAAAAAAUUGAAAUUAGGAACCUUUGUUAGUCGAAUUUCUUGUGUGGUAGUGGAAAGUUCUUGCUCAUCUCGUAGUCUCGUAUUGCAGAGGCAUAUUUUCUUUACUUUUUCACCUUUUUCUAUUUAAUUUGAACGAUAUGAGUUGUUGUAUGUAAAAUGGUGAAUCUCAAAAUGGUCGAAUGUUGGUUUGAUUGUGAUCUUGAGUGCACUGGUUGUAGAGUUUAUUUCUUCAUUGUUUGUUACUAGUCUUGGAUGCUUUUGAUUCAUAGUUAUAGAUUCUCUUCUAUGUUAGCGUAAUCUUGUAGGGUGAUUUCUGUUCUCGCAUAUCUUGAAUGCUAGGAGUUAGGAGUUGCAUUUGAGGAGAGCCCGUGAGAUUGAGUUUGUUAGGGCAUCGAGUUCGAGGAUCACUACAGAUGGUGUUCCUGCUGUUGAUGAGGGAAUUACUGAUGAUGUCCCUGUUGCUGAUCCGACGGGUUUCAAGAAAUUGGACCACCCACCUCUUGAUGGAUCUAAAGUCUUCAAUUUUACAAAAAAGAUUAUCAAAUUAAAGUUAGGAUUUUAUUCAAUCUUCAAGGGUUCUUUUCAACUAUGAUCCAAUCAAUUGUUUACUAUAUUUCUAUUCAUAAAUGAAGUAAUUAUAUGUUUUUUUAAAAGUUGAAUUCGCAUGA